rnacentral:sRNA from 1 species
AUGUUUGAUAAUUUGCCAAAAGGUAACACUUACUGUUUAUUAAAAUUAUUUCAAUUUGUUUAUAAUGUAAACUAGAUUAUCACUUAUAUUGUAGAAAGUAGGUUUUCCUCCAUUGUUAUAUGUAAACUUUACUAAUGUUUAAAAUGUUCUAAUAUUACAGAUUCAAAACACAAUGAAGUGCAAAACUUUGAAGCAGAUAUCAAUGAACGUGGGAUGUAGUUAACAUAGCAAACAACCAUGAUCUGAUCAAUAUUGCUAUGAUUUCGAUUGACUAAUAGGUAAGUUUAAAGUUUUUUUAAAACAGAAAAUAAUAUUUAAAACAUGGAUACAAAAAAAUAAUAAAACAUUUUCCAUACCUGCUGGAACUUAAUAUUAUAAGCUUCAAUAGUUGAAUAUAGAGAAGAAAACUUUCUUGAAUAUAUGUAGUUUUUUUAAAAAAAUUGUAAUCCACAUAUGUAAAAGUUUUAUAAUGUUUCUUUUCUUAGAGGUAUAGAUAAUGGAUAUAUACUCUUCACAUGAAACUGUAAUUUGUGUAUACACUAAUAUUACUAAUAAUAGAAUUUUUUUUGCUGCAAUUGUUUAAAUCUGAGCUAAAAUGGAUUAUCUAAAAGAUCUCAGAUUCAUUAAGAGAUCUCAGAUUUAGUAGUAAGAAGAAGAGCACUAAUUUUGAGCAAAUCUUAGUACCAAUAACACACUAACACUCAUACAACACAAAAAGUUACCAAUGCAACUACUUGCUUCUAAGCUAAAUAACAAUAAGACAAUGGAAAGACAAAAAAUAGAAAUUCAAGCAAUAUGGAACUGAGACAAAAUUUUAUAUAUGAUUUUUAAAAGCAUUAAAGAUUAACUUGAGAUGUUAAUAGACAGUCUCAUCAAUACAUAAACAGAGUUGUAUACAAAAUUACAAUGAGUAGCAUUAAAGUUUAACUUGAGAUGUUAAUAGACAGUCUAAUCAAUACAUAAACAGAGUUGUAUACAAAAUUACAAUGAGUGGUUCUCCUCUGUGUAUAUAUAAAUAUAAAUGAGUGUCUGUGUAUUUAUGUAACAAUUAGGAACGAUACAAGGCUAAUAUUAACAUUAGAGGCAGGUACCUUUAAGAAGUCUAAUGAUAAUUAAGCUACUUGAAUUUACUGUGGGCUGCAGAAUCGGCCCCAAAACUAGGGUAGGACAUACAGUUACAAUAUCAAUCCCACUUCUUUCUUGCAAAAUUCAAUGCCUCACUUUCUGCUUCUAUUUUGGAAAACUGAUACCAACUCUGAAAAAUUUCAGGUACCUUAUAUUUAGUGGUCUAUGCAAACGUAAUACAUAUUGUUCAUUAAUUUGAAGCUGUCAAUAAUAUAAGUUAUAUUGUCACUUAUGUUGCAAAUGAUAGAUUUAAUUCGAUAAUUAUAUAUAAAUUUUACUGAUGUUUAAAUUGUGCAGAUAAUACAAAUCCAAGUAAAUAUGGAGUACACAACUUUGAAGCAGAUAUCGAGGGACAAAGAUAACUCAAAAGUGAAAGUUAGAGUUUUACGAAUGUGGGAUGCAAUUAAUAUAGCAAACAACCAUGAUCUGAUCAAUCUCGAUAUGGUAUUGGUUGACACAGAGGUAAAUUCAUAAUUGAUUUCCUUUUAGAAUAAAUUUUACUAAUAUUAUUUUAUUAAAAUUUGUAGCCAGUCAAUGUAAAUUGGUUAUGUUAUGUACUGCUCCUAUUGAUUAAGGGAUAAUAUGUAUAUUUGAUAUGUUCGUAGGGAACAUUGAUACAUGCAAGCAUUAGAAAGAAUCUUGCUCAAACUUAUCGUCCACAACUAAAUGAAGGGAGCAUAUAUACAAUUACAAAUUUCUUAGUUGAAGAAGAUAAAGGGAACUAUCAGCUAGUACAUAACAAACUCAAAAUACUUUUCAAUUCAACAACUUCAGUCUCAAAAUUUAACGGAUUUGAUGAUUCAAUACCUCAAUCCCAAUUUGAAUUUGCUGAUUAUGGAACAAUAGCUUCCCGUUGCUUUGACACUACUUACUUGACAGGUAAUUUUAGUUGUUUUACGAACCAAUCAUCUAUUUUUACAGAAUUAAAAAAUAAUGCAAUUCAUAACUUAAUACUGAAACAAGUAACUACUAUUACACUUUUUCUUUUCGAGAGUGUAUCUACUUAUCGAUAUUCCUUUAAUGAUAAAUAGCAUAAAAUUGUAUAAAAUAGAUGCUAUAUAAGUUUUUUUUUUUUUUUUUAAAAAGGCCAGCAGGUAUCUUUAAGAAAAACAUGUUUAUUUCAGUUUGUUUAGAUAUAUAUACCUAUAGAAAAUGAUGAGGCAAAAAAGUUUGUAUGUUUUAAAUUAUUGUUUAGAUAUCAAAAAUUAAAUAUGUAGAAACUGUUCUGUUAUAGUUUUAAUUUGUUAUACCUAAUUUUUGGUUAGAUACACCACAAUGGACAUAAAUGUAAAAGAAAUACUGCCAAAGGGACUAUCUAAAGUACAAGAUACAGAACUUGCCUUACAUGAUAAAAAAACAAUUGCUGAAAUUAAGGAUUUGGAAUGGAACUCAGCAACAAAGGUAUCAACUAUACUCUUUGAUUAUGAAUUUAUCAUAAUUAGUAACUGUUUAUGUGUUUUACAGUAAGAUAUAAUUUUAUAAACUGUCUAAAUUUUGUAUUAUAGGACUUGCUGGUAACAUGCAAUGCCAAAAUCAUUAAUAUCAACAAUAAAUAUGGAUGGUACUAUGUUGCAUGCCUUAUAUGUAAGACGAAAGUGAAACAAGUUAGAGGAGUUCUUUGGUGUGAACGUUGUAAAAAUGAGCCAAAAUUUGCAGUCCCAAGGUAAUUUUUUUUUUAAUUUUUUUUAUAAAUUUUCAAACACACAAAAUAUAUAUAAUAUUAUACUAACAACUUUGUAUCUAAAAUAGCUAUAGAAUACAAGUCCAAGCGCAAGAUGAGACCAGUUCAACCACAUUCAUCUUAUUUGACAAAGGAGCUGAAAAAAUUAUAGCUAAAACUGCAAAAGAACUUGCAGAGAAGCAAGAAGAGGUAAUUUCAUAUAUAAAUGUCAGCCCCAUAUUAAUAUGCAUAAUUUUCUGUUUUUUUAAAAUUUAAAAGGAAAUAAACUUGCACAAGACAUGAUGCAUGUAUAUAUACAUUAUUUGCUAAUUGUUUUAAUCUUUUUUCAUACAGAUUUUGAAAUUAGAUGAGAAUAUUUUACCAAAAGAGAUUCAAAAAAUAAUUGGCAAUGAAUAUUUGUUCCAAUUGCAUCUUGAUGAAUAUAAUUUGAAGUAUGGAAAAGAAAAUUACAUGGUUUCGAAGAUUUUGGAGAUGGAAAUUUUGGAGAUUGAAGAACAUCAGGUAAUUGAAGCAUACUUACUUCAAGUUGCUUGCUAUAUGAUUCAAGCAUUAGUCUAUACAGAAAUUACUAUACGUGUCUAACUGAUACAUAAGAAUGCAAAUUAUUGCAGGACACAAUGGAGGAAAUUGUAAGUAAAUCAAGGAAGGACAAGUACAUAGCCAGUCAAAAAAAAGAAAUAGGAGAAACAUCUGUUGAAAGACCUGAAAUAAUGCCGCUCCAAAUGCUUCAAAAACGUCAAAAGGAUACUAAACAAAUUGCAUCAAAGAAAAAAAAAACUGAACUCUAA